CGAAGCGAUUUUGAGGAAGUUUUCGGAUGGAAUUGAAAUUGACUUAGCGGCGGACGGGUGAGUAACACGUGGGUAAUCUGCCUUAUACAGGGGGAUAACAGUUAGAAAUGACUGCUAAUACCGCAUAAGCGCACGGGGACGCAUGUUUCUGUGUGAAAAACUCCGGUAGUAUAAGAUGAGCCCGCGUCUGAUUAGCUGGUUGGUGGGGUAACGGCCUACCAAGGCGACGAUCAGUAGCCGGCCUGAGAGGGUGAACGGCCACAUUGGGACUGAGACACGGCCCAAACUCCUACGGGAGGCAGCAGUGGGGAAUAUUGCACAAUGGGGGAAACCCUGAUGCAGCGACGCCGCGUGAGUGAAGAAGUAUUUCGGUAUGUAAAGCUCUAUCAGCAGGGAAGAAAAUGACGGUACCUGACUAAGAAGCCCCGGCUAACUACGUGCCAGCAGCCGCGGUAAUACGUAGGGGGCAAGCGUUAUCCGGAUUUACUGGGUGUAAAGGGAGCGUAGACGGCGCGGCAAGUCUGAAGUGAAAGGCAGGGGCUUAACCCUUGAACUGCUUUGGAAACUGCCAUGCUAGAGUGCUGGAGAGGUAAGUGGAAUUCCUAGUGUAGCGGUGAAAUGC
rnacentral:rRNA from 1 species